UACGUAGGGGGCAAGCGUUGUCCGGAAUCAUUGGGCGUAAAGAGCGUGUAGGCGGCUUGGUAAGUCCGUUCUGAAAGCCCGGGGCUCAACCCCGGGAGGCGGAUGGAUACUGCUGAGCUCGAGUCCGGAAGAGGCGAGUGGAAUUCCUGGUGUAGCGGUGAAAUGCGCAGAUAUCAGGAGGAACACCAAUGGCGAAGGCAGCUCGCUGGGACGUGACUGACGCUGAGACGCGAAAGCGUGGGGAGCAAACAGG
rnacentral:rRNA from 1 species